rnacentral:tRNA from 1 species
GGUGGGUUGGCUCAGUGGUUAGAGCGUAGGUCUCGCAACCGAAGGGUUGAGGGCUCGAAUCCCGCUAUAGGCUG